UUUUAGGUCACGGGCAAAUAGACCAAAUAGUUUUCGAGGAGGUUUUAGAGGGCAUAGCAACUAUGGCUAUCACAACACUAGUUUCAGAUUUAAUAACGGCAAUACAAAUAGGCACAAUAAUGGCAAUAACACAAGGCACAAUAAUAAUCAAAAUAAUUACAAUAGAAGUAACAAUUUUAACAAUAGACAAAAUAAUUACAGAAAUAGCACAAGCAAUCGUUCGGCAAGCAACAGAAACAACUCUUCUCGUUCAAAUUCUAGAAACACUUCUAAUGUUCGAUUUUUAAACGCCGAUGCCCCUCAGGAGCGAACACUGGGGGAGCAGGAGCUAAGCAAUUAAACGUAGUUACCCCUGAAAAAUCAAUUUACUGCUUGAACCUUAAUUAUUCAGAUUUUAUUGAAUUAAAUUGUACCGAUUCUUACAAAUUAUGCUCGUUUCUCGUAGAUUCACAAGCAGACAUCUCUUUAAUCAAGAUUUCCAGUUUAGCAAGAAAUUCAGCAAUUAACAGUAGCAAUACCAUAAACAUCACUGGUGUAACAACUGAAACGGUUACAACAUUGGGAACUAUGACAGUUUUAAUAUACCUUCUGACGGCAUACUAGGCAAGGACUUUUUAAAGACGAACAGACGUAUUAUUAACUACGCAAAUGACAGUAUAACUAUCGGCAUCGGGACAGAAAGCACUAAAAUAGCAAUUGUACACGGUUCAAAUACCGACACUUUAGUCAUUCCUCCAA
rnacentral:lncRNA from 1 species